GUGAAUCAUCGAAUCUUUGAACGCACAUUGCACUCUCCUCGGUGACUAUGCCUGUUUGAGGUUCAGCCUAUAAAAAAUCGACAUCGUUGCUGUUUCGCGGUGACGUUCGUCGGAAAUUGUGUCAUCUUUAGUCCUUUUGGUUUUAAGCGACUUAAAAAUUUCUUUUUGGUGCCAUGAACGUUUCUAUGAUUUAUUUCUUUACACGUUUACGGUAUCGAUUUUUAUUAGACGUG
rnacentral:misc_RNA from 1 species